rnacentral:rRNA from 1 species
CCUACGGGUGGCAGCAGUAGGGAAUAUUGGUCAAUGGACGAGAGUCUGAACCAACCAAGUAGCGUGAAGGAUGACUGCCCUAUGGGUUGUAAACAUCUUUUAUAUGGGAAUAAAAUGUUCCACGUGUGGGAUUUUGUAUGUACCAUAUGAAUAAGGAUCGGCUAACUCCGUGCCAGCAGCCGCGGUAAUACGGAGGAUCCGAGCGUUAUCCGGAUUUAUUGGGUUUAAAGGGAGCGUAGGUGGAUUGUUAAGUCAGUUGUGAAAGUUUGCGGCUCAACCGUAAAAUUGCAGUUGAAACUGGCAGUCUUGAGUACAGUAGAGGUGGGCGGAAUUCGUGGUGUAGCGGUGAAAUGCUUAGAUAUCACGAAGAACUCCGAUUGCGAAGGCAGUUCACUGGACUGCAACUGACACUGAGGCUCGAAAGUGUGGGUAUCAAACAGGAUUAGAUACCCUGGUAGUC